CCCAGUAUUUAAAAACACAAGAAAAAAAUAAUAGAUGUUGAUUCAAUGUCUUAUUCUACCAAAAUAGCUAAAAGGUAAUUACGUAAAUCUUCAAAAAAAUGUGAAAUAUGCUUUUAGUGUUAGCUUCUAUUGACAGAUUAGGCAGCCAAUGGCUGGCGCGGUCUGGUUUCGUGUCGGCCAAUGGGGUUGAUCGUCCCGCCCCUUUUUAACAGCUGACGGUUGUUUCGCUGCGAACGCUUGAGAGCUAACAGCUGACGGUCGUUUCCGUAAGAGGUAGAAAGAAAUUGACGAAUCUGGAAAUUGGUAAGGAAAACAAUAUUAAUAUAAAUUCACUAAAUAUAUAAUUCAAAAUACUACAUUCGGUUUUAUUAGAUCUCGGAGGGUUUCCCCCGUGAACAGCUGAAGCCCGAAAAAUAGCCGUUGACAGCUCGGAGCAUCGGUCAGGUUUUUUUUUUUGGAGUUUGUACAGUACACUUUUGGCUUGGAGGGCCAAAGAUUCCAAGACCCUCUUCACCUGAAACUGGAUGGCGAGCCCCAGCCCAGAGGACCAGGCGCACGGGUAGAUAGUGACCCGACUGGUCACCAGCUGAGAGACUUUGAGACUGAAGAAUUAAUUCAUUGGAGACUGAAGUAUUCAAUUUAUUUAUUUAUUUUUUUUUUUUUAAAGCGCGCAGUAUUUGUUUGUCUGUUUUAAAUGUGGAUCCACAAUUGUUUAUUAUAUUAAAUAUUUGCUCUUUUCUUGUA